rnacentral:rRNA from 1 species
AUGGUUGUCGUCAGCUCGUGCCGUGAGGUGUCGGGUUAAGUCCCAUAACGAGCGCAACCCCUACCUUUAGUUGCCAUCAGGUUAAGCUGGGGACUCUAAAGGAACUGCCUACGCAAGUAGUGAGGAAGGCGGGGAGUGACGUCAAAUCAGCACGGCCCUUACGUCCAGGGCUACACACGUGCUACGAUGGCCGAUACAGAGGGCAGCUACCUGGUGACAGGAUGCAAAUCUCCAAAGUCGGUCUCAGUUCGGAUCGGAGUCUGCAACCCGACUCCGUGAAGUUGGAUUCGCUAGUAAUCGCGCAUCAGCCAUGGCGCGGUGAAUACGUUCCCGGGCCUU